UACUUGCUCAGUAACACGUGGCACAAUCUGCCCUGAAGAGGAGGAUAAUCCCGGGAAACUGGGGGUAAUACUCCAUAGUUCGUGCUGACUGGAAUGUUAUGCGAACGAAAGAUCCGUCGCUUCAGGAUGAGUCUGCGGCCGAUUAGGUAGUUGUUGGGGUAACGGCCCAACAAGCCUGUCAUCGGUACGGGUUGUGGGAGCAAGAGCCCGGAGAUGGAUUCUGAGACACGAAUCCAGGCCCUACGGGGCGCAGCAGGCGCGAAAACUUUACCAUGCGGGUAACCGUGAUAAGGAAACCCCGAGUGCCAGCACAGGCUGGCUGUCCACCAGUGUAAAUAACUGGUGAAGAAAGGGCCGGGCAAGACCGGUGCCAACAGCCGCGGUAAUACGAUAAUCA
rnacentral:rRNA from 1 species